GACGUAGGGCGCGAGCGUUGUCCGGAUUUAUUGGGCGUAAAGAGCUCGUAGGCGGCUUGUUACGUCGACUGUGAAACCCGCGGCUCAACCGUGUGGUCUGCAGUCGAUACGGGCAGGCUAGAGUUCGGUAGGGGAGACUGGAAUUCCUGGUGUAGCGGUGGAAUGCGCAGAUAUCAGGAGGAACACCGGUGGCGAAGGCGGAUCUCUGGGCCUUACCUGACGCUGAGGCGCGAAAGCUAGGGGAGCGAACAGG
rnacentral:rRNA from 1 species